rnacentral:rRNA from 1 species
GAUGAACGCUGGCGGCGUGCCUAAUACAUGCAAGUAGAACGCUGAAGCUUGGUGCUUGCACCGAGCGGAUGAGUUGCGAACGGGUGAGUAACGCGUAGGUAACCUGCCUCUUAGCGGGGGAUAACUAUUGGAAACGAUAGCUAAUACCGCAUAAAAGUCGACAUUGCAUGAUGUUGAUUUGAAAGGUGCAAUUGCAUCACUAAGAGAUGGACCUGCGUUGUAUUAGCUAGUUGGUGAGGUAACGGCUCACCAAGGCGACGAUACAUAGCCGACCUGAGAGGGUGAUCGGCCACACUGGGACUGAGACACGGCCCAGACUCCUACGGGAGGCAGCAGUAGGGAAUCUUCGGCAAUGGGGGCAACCCUGACCGAGCAACGCCGCGUGAGUGAAGAAGGUUUUCGGAUCGUAAAGCUCUGUUGUAAGAGAAGAACGAGUGUGAGAGUGGAAAGUUCACACUGUGACGGUAACUACCA